rnacentral:lncRNA from 1 species
UCAAGCAUAUCCUAAUUCAAUCACAAUGAUGCACUAUUAUAGUUAUAUCUUAAUAAUCAUAACAACUAAUCAUGGCAUCUAUUCAUAUGUCUAAGAUAUGAAAUCAUAAUCAUUCAAUAUGAUUAUAACUAAGCAUCUUAAGCAUAUCACAUAUGCAUGAAGUUUUAAUAACGUGCAUGAAUACAAAAUAUUCUUUUCAUGGUUUUUCUCCUUAGGACAUCAUAAUGGCACCCCU